GUGGGCCUACGGGGGGCAGCAGUGAGGAAUAUUGGUCAAUGGCCGCAGGGCUGAACCAGCCAAGUCGCGUGAGGGACGACGGUCCUAUGGAUUGUAAACCUCUUUUGUCGGGGAACAAAGGCGCCCACGGGUGGGCGGAUGAGUGUACCCGAAGAAAAAGCAUCGGCUAACUCCGUGCCAGCAGCCGCGGUAAUACGGAGGAUGCGAGCGUUAUCCGGAUUUAUUGGGUUUAAAGGGUGCGUAGGCGGACAGUCAAGUCAGCGGUAAAAAUGCGGUGCUCAACGCCGU
rnacentral:rRNA from 1 species